CACCAAGAAUUAAAAAACUGCCAAGAACGCUGUGAUUUACAUCCAGUACAGAAAAAAGCUGGCAUUACACACUUAAUUAAUUCGGGCUUGGGUGCUCCCGAAGUAUUCGUACCAAGAUGGCGCACAACCUGAACAUAGUAUGUGUACCAGGUUAAGGUUGUUCAGGUUGUGCGUCAUCUUGGUGUGAAUACUUCCGGUGCGCCUGGGCUUGUAUAUAAAUAGCAAAACUUGAACACAUUUUGAUAAUGUAAAUCUUACGUUCCUAAAAAACAUGAUAAUAAACAAAAUACACCACCCUGCGAAAAAAAAUACACUCGAAUAAAUACUUGAAUAAUCACACAUAACUCAUACAAAAAUAUUGUUUCACCAAAAAUUCAACACAAAAUCAGAGCUGUAAAGAUGGGACACAGAGUCUUAGUUUUUUGUGUUCAAAAUUUGGAUAGUUUCGGACUUCUAAUGGUAAUAAUCAUAAUUUAGACAAAAACUCAAAAAUUAAGCCAAAGAAGUUUUCUUUACAGACAAUUGAUGCGUGUAUAAACAGAAGCGUAACCAGGAAUUUUUAAAAGUGAAGAUCUUGAUAUUUGUUAUUGCCAAGUUGGACCGUAAUUGCUAGGUCUGUCCGGUGGUCGUAUAGGUCUUCAAGAGUCCCAUAAAGUGUUUUAUGCUACAAAAAAUUGCUUUUUUUACAUUUCAAAAGGAUGCCGAAGCAGAUGGGUUUUCAAGAGUUCAAAACGCAUUUUAUUUUACGAAAAAUUGCUAUGUUUAAAUCAGUAAUAUGCCUUUUUUACAUUUAAAAAAGGAGGGAGCAACCCUCAAAACCCCCUGCUGGCUAUGUCCCUGUAUAUAGGCUACAGUUCUCAUCAUCUAAUUUGGUUUCCAAAGUUCAGUCCUGGAAUCAUAAUUAAAACUUCAAAAAAGAUUCAAUUCCUAACAGUCUAUCAAAGAAUAUCAUAAAUAUAAUAAAAGUGAAGGGAACACCACAUUUAAAUGAGUAGAUUGUCAAAAAGAAUUGUGUCGGUGUCUUUUAUAAUAAUUUUGACAAAUCCCAUCAAAGUGUUAUUUUUAACCUCAUAGGAUAUGCCCUAACCCAGUAUAUAAUCGUAUAAUGUCAAGUCUAAAAUGCUUCAUAAAUACGGGGUGUCCCAUGAAGUCCGUUUACAAUUUCAAUUUUGUUAAGAAGUCAAUUCUCAAUAUAUCUUAACCAGGUUUGUUGUUUUUUAAUCAGCAAUUGUUUUCACCUUCAUUUAAUACGUCUGUGAGGGCCAAUACAAUAUAUGGUUUCGUAGCAACGUAUUGUUUUGAAAAAUAAUAUCCUCAAUAAAGUGAAAAUAUUUGAGGAAGAUAAGUUGGAAGGAACUAAAAAUUUUUUUUAUUUUAAUAUUCAUCUAUGCUGUAUUCUUGUUAAUGUAAAUAACACAAUUUUUUUUUUUUUGGGGGGGAUGGGGGGUUAUUAUCAAAAAUAUUUGUGACAAUGUGGUGUUCCAGAGGAGCAAAUACAAAGUGGUUGAUAUGUUGAAUAUACAGAAAAUGAAAAAGCGAGGAGCACAACAUAGGAGUUUAUCUUGGAAAAAGAGGGGAGGGGGAGAAAAAUAACGGGACCCCAACAGAUAGCUCCCACUAGAGCGGUUUUCCUUCCUGGCUGGGGCAUUGAAAUUGUGGGGGGACAGGGAGUGUGAGAAAAAAUGUCAUAAUCUCUCUGGGUCCUGUGUUGUGACCUCACCACAGGCAAAUGCGCCCAAAUUCUUAAAAAAAACUUGAAAAACAUGUCUGGAUAUAUAUGCUGUAUACAGCUCUUACCUGAGUGAGACGACGAAAAUUAAAGGGGGGGAGAGGGGGCAGGGUAAGGGGUCAGAAAAAAGGUUCAGAGCCUACAGUGAUACCUAGCCACUGCCGGUUUGUUCAAAAUAUUUAUGCAAGUAUGCUGAAUCGUGAUUUAUAUGAAAUUUUACUCAAAUUCAAAUUUAUCUGAAAAAUUCCCCCAUCCCUCAGAAUUUUUUUUUUUUUUGGUUUCCAAAUCUGUUUUACACUAAGAUAAAAACACAAUCAGUAAAUAUUACAGAAAAAAUAGAACACGCUUUUUCACACAAAAGUAUAAGUAAAAUCAAAAUAAAAUCCCGUACAUUUUUACCCUCAGUGCUCCCCCCCUUUUUUAUAAAACACAAUGCAUUAAAACCUAAUAAUAAUUCCUAAUUUUUUUUCUUUUUUUCUCAAAUUAUUUUUUCUUUGCAUAUUCGCAGAGGUCCUUCACAUUCAUCAUUGCUUUUUCGAUGUUAUCAGCAAAUCGAGAUGAGUUCUGAUAAGAUAAAUAGAUAGGGAGAUAAUAACGUGGAAAUAUAAAUACAUUCAAAAGAGUGUAAUCAGAGAGUCCCCUAGAUAAAAAAACAGUUAAGAUAAGAAGACAGCCCGAUGCUGCCACAACCAAACUAAAACCAAAUUUUGAUGUUUAAGUUUAAAAUAAUUCGAGGAAUUUUUUGAGCUUGCGAUUAAACGUAGUUUUGGAACGAGGCUUAUUGUUUUCCACCUUUGCGUUUGCAACACUGUAAUUAUUGUUCAUAAAAUGUAACUUUUAAGUCACACUUACAUGGCCCACCGGCUAAGGUGGGCAAACUAGCUAACCAAUCCCAGACCCAAUAUGGACUGGUAACCGGACUACAGGCCGUGGUUUGCUGUAGAAUCAGGCUGUGUUAUCGUCUUUUCCUCUCCCCCGGUAUAAAUAUGCAAAUCCAUUACAUAGCAAUAGCUGCAAAUGCAGGUCACAUGAAAUAUUAUAAAAAGAAUACUUCCUGUCUCAUGAGAGGAGACUUACUUAAGUUGGGAGUUAAUGCGACAGGAAACAUGGAAACUGAUUGAAGAUUAAUGAAAACAGUAAAAAGAAAGACACUCAGCAUGAUAAUAGUUAUUUUUUAGAGUAGAGAAACUCAAAGAUGGAAAAGGUUUUCUUUUUAAUAUAAAAAAAAUGUGAUAUGCGUGUAAUGACUACAUCCAAAAAAUGGGAUUCCCCCUCCCUCCUUCAAUUUUUGAACUAUGUUUUUUGAAAGGCUGAUGAGUCACAACCUAUGGGUGUAUUUGAAAGGUCCAAUGACUUGCCAUGUGGAUCAUGGUUUAAUGACUAAGAACGCAGGGUUGAAAUGAAAAUAGAAUUAAAAAAAACUGUUAAUUUUUCAUUAUCAGAUUCAACUAAAAAAAAAGUUUUGGUCCAAUAAGUAAAAAAAGGGUUUAAAUGAAGCAAAAUUGACGUGAUACUAUGUGCACAUUCGAGGGUCGCAGGGAUUUGUAACUGCUUUGUCACAGAGUGUUCAACUAAAGAGUCGCGGUCUAAUAAAUAAAAAUUCAGGGUUGAAAUGAACCAAAAUUGAUGUGGAUCUAUCUAUUCAUUCAGGGGAUCGCAUGGAUUUGUAAAGUCACAGGGUGAUAUGUUACUGAGGGUUCAACUAAAGAGUCACGGUAUAAUAAAUAAAAAUACAGGGUUGAAAAGAACUAAAAUUAAUGCGGAACUAUUUGCGCAUUCACAAGUUGCUGCUGUCACAGAGGGGACUUAGUUUGCUGGAUAUACAAAUCAAGACAAUUUUUUUUUAGUUCAGUUAGAUACAAAGAAAAUUUCCAAAUAUAUAAUGGUUUUGAAAAUAUCAUACAUUGUGGUGAACAAAUAAAUAAUUAUUUUCAUGAUUGUAAUUUGCGAUUUGAAAAAAACUUUUUUGAAAAUUUUUUUUUUUAUAUAAUGAAGAAUUUGAUGACAAUAGACAGCCAUGCGUUAAUAACUAAAAAUGAAGGGUACGAAUAAAGACAGUCACAGUUGAAUGAUUAAAAAUGCUGGGUUAAAAUGAUAAUAACAUUCUUUAUGAUUUUUUAUCUAAUGAACUUAAAUUUGUGAAACACUUAAUCAAAGUUAUGGUCAGAGGAAUAAAAAUGCAGGGCCAAAAUGAACAAAUAAUUUGAGAUUAGGAAUGUUGGCUGGAGCAUCAUGGUCUGAUGAACGAAAAUGUAGGGUUAAAUUGAACAAAAAAUUGAUGAAUAUGAAUAUGCAAUAGAACACCGCAUGAUUGAAAAAUGAAUGGCAGUCAUGGUUGGAUGAAUGAUGACCGAAAAUGCAGGGUUAAAAUGAGAAAAAUAUUUGAUUAACGAUAAUGACUAGAGAGUCACAUGAUUGAGAAAUCUAAUGGAAGUCAUGGUUGAAUGAGUAAAUAAUGCAGGGUUUGAAAUGUCAAUGUGACCAGAUGAAAUUAAUUCCAUAACAGCCAAUUUGACAAAUUUUUAGGGACAAAAUUUCUUGAAUUUCGAAUUAAACAUACACUAAGUUGCAACAGCGAGAAAGAAAAUUACGUUUCAGCGAUAGCUUGCACCAGCACGAUAAGAAACACCGAAAAGAAAAAUGAUCGUUGUGAGAGAUGUUUUGAAAACAACUUAUGCUUUUAGUUUUUACUUUUAUGCUAAUGUUUAUGGUGUGAGACCAUGUUGGCUGAAUAAAAAACUCUGCUCACCAGCUCACCUAGAGGUGCAAUAAAUUUGGGCAGGCAAUGAUGAAAGCGGGGCAAGUGUUUUGAAAAGCAAUGAAGACUAAUAGAUCUGGAAAUCUAAUUUUAUUUGUGCUUUUACUUUAAUUCUAAUGUUUCAGGGGUUGGACCUAGACGUUAGUUCGAGUUCAAACAUCAUGUCGCCCCACCUUACCCAGGGUGUAAUAAAUUGAAUCGGCUAAACUGGAAAGAUUCUGUAACUUCUAGAACAGGAGGUUCUCACAUAGUGGAGAUAUGGGAACCUACGGCCAGUAUGUACCUCAGCAUUUCAUUUUAGAGGGGGGGGGAAUUUAGAAGGUUGGUAAAUAUUUUCCUAUUAGCGAUAAAACUAUUCGUAACUUAUAAAAAUGUGUUAUGUAUUUGACAGACCAUCUGCACUGAUAAAUAUCCUACCUUAUGGAUAUUCAAAUACUAUUAUACUUAAGUUGGGUAAUAAAGUGCGGUAUCAUACUUCAAAAUUAAGGGGGUGUAUGAAAUUUUAGAGAGGGGUGGGUUAAUGCUAACAGCGAAUCAGAACCUUCCCAGUUCCCAGUAUUGCCUGCCCAAAUAAAUUAAACCCAGACCUUAAAAAAAAUGCAGCUCCUUACAAAUCAUCAGUGACAACUUAUUAGGUUUGUCCAGAGCGAAGACACAAAACAUCACAUAAGGUUAACGUAUUAAAAAGUGAGUAGAAAUAUAUAAACAAGAAGAAAAAGUAAUAAAUC